UGAACGUUGGCGGCGUGGAUUUGGCAUGCAAGUCGCGCGAUAAAUUCCCGCAAGGGGAUGGAAAGCGGCGAAAGGGACAGUAAUGCGUAGAUACCUACCCUCGGGCUCGGGAUAGCUGCGGGAAACUGCAAUUAAUACCGAAUAACGCCUCCGGACCAAAGGUGUGAUUCCGCCUGGGGAUGGGUCUGCGUCCUAUUAGCUAGUUGGUGUGGUAACGGCGCACCAAGGCAAAGAUGGGUAGCAGGUGUGAGAGCACGACCUGCGUCACUGGGACUGAGACACUGCCCAGACACCUACGGGUGGCUGCAGUCGAGAAUCUUCGGCAAUGGGCGCAAGCCUGACCGAGCGACGCCGCGUGCGGGAUGAAGGCCUUCGGGUUGUAAACCGCUGUCAGAGAGGCGGAAAUAUAGGGGGGUUCUCCCUUCUAUUUGACCUAUUCUCAGAGGAAGUGCGGGCUAAGUCCGUGCCAGCAGCCGCGGUAACACGGACCGCACGAACGUUAUUCGGUAUCACUGGGCUUAAAGGGUGCGUAGGCGGCCUAGCAAGUUGGGUGUGAAAGCCCUCGGCUCAACCGAGGAAUUGCGCCCAAUACUGUUGGGCUCGAGAGAGACAGAGGUAAGCGGAACUAAUGGUGGAGCGGUGAAA
rnacentral:rRNA from 1 species